rnacentral:other from 1 species
AGUGCCCUGCGCUGCGCGUGAGGUUCCAGUCAACGUGAGCCAACACCACGUGACCGGGAAUCCGGCUUCCGUUGGGGUCGGCAUACCCACGCAUGCACGGGAGGCCACCCCCCCAUCGGAGAGGGUACCCACCUGUUGAGGGAGGGUUCAGCGUGGACGGAGCCCACGGCAGCGGCGGGGCGUUU